rnacentral:rRNA from 1 species
GUGGGUUUGGGGCACCGCCAAGUCCUUAGAGUUUUAAGCGUUUGUGCUCGUAGUUCUCAGGCGGAUACAUGUGUGAUGGGAGGUAUCUAGAUUUAGGGCUAG